UCCGGCCGUCGCCGUCGUUUGACGAAAAGAGAAAAAAUAUGGAUGCCCUAUAUCAGAAUGAUCAUCAGUUUCUCGCGAUUGAUGGGGCCUCAAAACUGAAGAUGAUCCUUCCAGCGCACUCUGUUUUCAGAUGUAUAAUAUCCACAGAAGGGGGUAUCGGAGGGGUGCUGGUGCAUUAUUGGUUGUUCUCCCCUAUCCACGCACGUACAUGGAAAUGGAAUAAAGGCGGCGUCGGGGAUUCAUCUAGUAAGUCCCCGUCCCCUGAUUCUUGACGCGGAUACGACGACGUUGAGCCGCUGCCACUCGCCGGAUGGUCGGCGGAGGGGGCGUGCUGACGGCGACGCCCAGACUUUGACAGCUUUGUCUCCUCCCCUCUUCCUUUUUUUUAUGAUGAUCAGUAGAGUAGAGUUUAUUUUUUGAAACAAAUCAGUAUUUUUUUUCGAGAAUUUGAAACAAAUCAGUAGAGUAGAUAAAUAUCUCCAUUUUCUCCUGCGUGCCGAGCAACCAAUAAACAGUCCAGGAUCGGGUGGGCUGUUGGAGGCCCCCUGUGUGUGGGCCGUGGCAAUGCUAGUAGUGAGUGUCUGGGCUUAGCCCAGCGUAAGUCGCACCGUGGGCCUUGCUGAAAAUAUUACGCGGGCCAUCUUGUAAAUUUCGCACUACGUCCCUAGAAAAUGUGGUCCUGUAAUGUUGGGACUUGAUAGUUCUGUCUGUAUCCUACAAUAAAGAUUAUGCGAAGAUUUUUGUUUGUGAAAA